rnacentral:rRNA from 1 species
AAAAUUUUAAAGGUCGAACAGACCUAAUAAUUGAGCUACUGCACCCAAUAUUAAUUUUAAUCCAACAUCGAGGUCGCAAACUCCCCCUUAAAUAAGAACUCUCAAAGGAAAUUACG